GAUGAACGCUGGCGGCGUGCCUAAUACAUGCAAGUCGAGCGAAGCGGGGACGGGUGAUUAACACGUGGAUAACCUCCUAUAAGACUGGGAUAAGUUCGGGAAACCGGAGCUAAACCGGAUACUUAUAGAUGGAUCCGCGCUGCAUUAGCUAGUUGGGAAGCUAACGGCUUACCAAGGCAACGAGGCAUAGCCGACCUGAGAGAGUGAACGGCACCACUGGAACUGAGACACGGUCCACACCCCUCCGGGAGACAGCAGGAGGAACUCAGCCGCAAUGGGCGAAAGCCUGACGAAGCAACGCCGCGUGAGUGAAGAAGGCCUUCGAAUCAAAAAACUCUUUUAUUAGGGAAGCGGAGCCUAAUCAGAAAGCCACGGCUAACUACGUGCCAGCAGCCGCGGUAAUC
rnacentral:rRNA from 1 species